GAACGGGUGAGUACACGUGGGUGAUCUGCCCUGCACUUUGGGAUAAGCCUGGGAAACUGGGUCUAAUACCGAAUAGGACCACGCGCUUCAUGGUGUGUGGUGGAAAGCUUUUGCGGUGUGGGAUGNGNNNGCGGCCUAUCAGCUUGUUGGUGGGGUAAUGGCCUACCAAGGCGACGACGGGUAGCCGGCCUGAGAGGGUGACCGGCCACACUGGGACUGAGAUACGGCCCAGACUCCUACGGGAGGCAGCAGUGGGGAAUAUUGCACAAUGGGCGCAAGCCUGAUGCAGCGACGCCGCGUGAGGGAUGACGGCCUUCGGGUUGUAAACCUCUUUCAAUAGGGACGAAGCGCAAGUGACGGUACCUAUAGAAGAAGCACAGGCCAACUACGUGCCAGCAGCCGCGGUAAUACGUAGGGUGCGAGCGUUGUCCGGAAUUACUGGGCGUAAAGAGCUCGUAGGUGGUUUGUCGCGUUGUUCGUGAAAACUCACAGCUUAACUGUGGGCGUGCGGGCGAUACGGGCAGACUAGAGUACUGCAGGGGAGACUGGAAUUCCUGGUGUAGCGGUGGAAUGCGCAGAUAUCAGGAGGAACACCGGUGGCGAAGGCGGGUCUCUGGGCAGUAACUGACGCUGAGGAGCGAAAGCGUGGGGAGCGAACAGGAUUAGAUACCCUGGUAGUCCACGCCGUANACGGUGGGUACUAGGUGUGGGUUCCUUCCUUGGGAUCCGUGCCGUAGCUAACGCAUUAAGUACCCCGCCUGGGGAGUACGGCCGCAAGGCUAAAAC
rnacentral:rRNA from 1 species